AUUGAACGCUGGCGGCAGGCCUAACACAUGCAAGUCGAACGGUAACAGGAAACAGCUUGCUGUUUCGCUGACGAGUGGCGGACGGGUGAGUAAUGUCUGGGAAACUGCCUGAUGGAGGGGGAUAACUACUGGAAACGGUAGCUAAUACCGCAUAACGUCGCAAGACCAAAGAGGGGGACCCUCGGGCCUCUUGCCAUCGGAUGUGCCCAGAUGGGAUUAGCUUGUUGGUGGGGUAACGGCUCACCAAGGCGACGAUCCCUAGCUGGUCUGAGAGGAUGACCAGCCACACUGGAACUGAGACACGGUCCAGACUCCUACGGGGGGCAGCAGUGGGGAAUAUUGCACAAUGGGCGUAAGCCUGAUGCAGCCAUGCCGCGUGUAUGAAGAAGGCCUUCGGGUUGUAAAGUACUUUCAGCGGGGAGGAAGGGAGUAAAGUUAAUACCUUUGCUCAUUGACGUUACCCGCAGAAGAAGCACCGGCUAACUCCGUG
rnacentral:rRNA from 1 species